CUCACCCACAUUCAGUUAAACCCAGACAUGCCAGAUUCCAUCACUUGGAAACUCACUACCAAUGGCCACUAUUCCGCAGCCUCGGCAUAAAGGGCUCAGUUUCUUGGCUUGGUGGACACGGAUAUGAAUCAAAAUGUGUGGAAGAACUGGGCGCCCCCAAAGUGUAAGUUUUUCGCUUGGCUUGUUAUCAAUAAUAGAAUUUGGACGGCUGACAGACUCCACCGCUGUCGGUGUCAAAACCGGCGGAUCUCAGGUAGGGGGUCCUGA
rnacentral:rRNA from 1 species